AAUGGAUUAGUUUCAGAUACUUGCUGC
rnacentral:sRNA from 1 species